ACUCAACAUGGUAGCUCAGUCGGUAGAACACGAGACUUUUAAUCUCAAGGUCAUGGGUUUGAGCCUCACGUUGGGCA